UGUAGUCAUAUGCUUGUCUCAAAGGUUAAGCCAUGCAUGUCUAAGUAUAAACAACUUUAUACUGUAAAACUGCGAACGGCUCAUUAUAUCAGCAAUAAUUUAUUUGAUGAUUUCUUACUACAUGGAUAACUGUAGUAAUUCUAGAGCUAAUACAUGCGCAAAGUCCUAACUCGCGAGGGGAGGGAUGUAUUUAUUAGAUACAAAACCAAUGCGGGUUCUGCCCGCCAUUGUGUUGAAUCAUAGUAACUUAUCGAACGCCAUAGCCUUGUGCUGGGCGUAGAUCAUUCAAAUUUCUGCCCUAUCAGCUUUCGACGGUAGUGUAGU
rnacentral:rRNA from 1 species